CAGCAGCCGCGGGAAUACGUAGGGUGCAAGCGUUAAUCGGAUUUACUGGGCGUAAAGCGUGCGUAGGCGGCUUCUUAAGUCGGAUGUGAAAUCCCUGAGCUUAACUUAGGAAUUGCAUUCGAUACUGGGAAGCUAGAGUAUGGGAGAGGAUGGUAGAAUUCCAGGUGUAGCGGUGAAAUGCGUAGAGAUCUGGAGGAAUACCGAUGGCGAAGGCAGCCAUCUGGCCUAAUACUGACGCUGAGGUACGAAAGCAUGGGGAGCAAACAGGAUUAGAUACCCCUGUAGUCCCUGUCUCUUAUAC
rnacentral:rRNA from 1 species